CAGCGCACAUCCAGAGGGGCCCCAGGAGCUCUUUCAACCUCAGCUUCAGAAUCUAACACAUCCAGAAACACCAACAAUAAAAUAACGACCCACUCUCCUUUGUGGAAGCUCACAAACGUCCCCUCCUGUUCCCUCGUCUCAUCAGAGCCUCCUUAAGGAGAGGUGGAUAACUCAAUGAUUGUUGAUGGAAACACUCUCCUGGUGCAAGUA